GGCUCCCAGAAUUCCCAAAACAAGUGUGCUCCCUUCAGAAAUACAGUCCUUGGAGUAGGAGGCUAACAGAGCUAAGGUGAAGGAUCUAAAACCUGAAAAGAGGCCAAAUGAUUCCUCAAAACCACGCAAGUACGAAGUAGCAGAGCGGAUCUCAAAUCCAGAGCACUGCGUGUUUUGAAAUAUACAAAUAGUGGGAAACGAAAUCUUUGUUCUGGAUGCAGUUAUAAUUUGGAAAGCGAGGAAAUAAAUUAUAACAAGGGGAAAAAACAGACACAGAGGGAUUGAAAUGCAUAACAAUAGAGAUGAAACACGAAGAGUGAUAAAUGAAGAUUGAGUGUGCACACCUUCUGGAGGAGCCCUGAUUGAGUAUUUUAAAAUACUACUAAAGUCAUGCCGUGUGACUUCUGAAGCUAGCUCCUAAGAAGUCCUUGCAGCUUCUGCCUGCGACUCUUAGAACACUUGCUUUGAAGGAUGCCAGAUGCUGUCUUAAAAGUCUGAGCACUCUGAAACCAUCAUGCUGUGAGGAAGCCCAAGCUAACCACAUGGGCAAAAAAGAUGCCCUCUGACUGCCACCAUUUGAGACACUCUAAUUAAGAACUGCCUCAUUGAGCCCAUGAGGCCCUGUGAAUGAUAAUAAUAAAUUGUUUUUAACCACUAUGUUUUUGGAUUUGUUAUAAGUUUAUAGAUAACAAGAAAAAGUUAUAUUAGCAUGGUAAUAAAAUUAUGGAUAUGUGUAA
rnacentral:lncRNA from 1 species